ACACCCGUAGCUCAACGGAUAGAGCACCUGACUUCGGAUCAGGGUGUUGGGGGUUCGAGUCCUCUCGGGUGUGCCA
rnacentral:tRNA from 2 species